AGAGGAAUCACAGAAUGUUUCAAUCUGCUUCUCUCUACUUCUGCCCAGGCCUGUGACCUAACCUGUCUCAGGUUCUUGUCCACCUGAACAAUGUCAAGCAUGGGCUCUAUCACAUGGAGCGGACCUUAAAUCCCACCAGAUAUGGGUACAGAAUGCUUGAUGCCCUCUCCAGCACCCUAUAACCUGCAGGUCACCAUGCU